rnacentral:rRNA from 1 species
GACGAACGCUGGCGGCGUGCUUAACACAUGCAAGUCGAACGAGAAAGCCCUUCGGGGUAAGUACAGUGGCGAACGGGUGAGUAACACGUGGGCAACCUGCCCCAGAGAGCGGGACAACCCGGGGAAACCCGGGCUAAUACCGCAUGAUGCGUCUCCACUUAAGUGGAGCCGCCAAAUGGUAGCUUCGGCCUCCGCUCUGGGAUGGGCCCGGGCCGGAUUAGCUAGUUGGUUGGGGUAACGGCCCACCAAGGCGACGAUCCGUAGCUGGUCUGAGAGGACGAUCAGCCACACUGGGACUGAGACAUGGCCCAGCCUCCUACGGGAGGCAGCAGUGGGGAAUCUUGCGCAAUGGGCGAAAGCCUGACGCAGCAACGCCGCGUGGGGGAAGAAGGCCUUCGGGUUGUAAACCUCUUUCAGUAGGGACGAAGCUUCCGGGGUUAAUAGCCUACGGGGUGACGGUACCUACAGAAGAAGCCCCGGCUAACUACGUGCCAGCCGCCGCCGUAA